rnacentral:ncRNA from 2 species
GCGUCACGUCAGGGGAGUCCCGCCCGAGGGACUGAGAGGCUGAUUGGUGACGCGAGUCACGGUGCAGCGACCCUUUGAACCUGACCCAGUUGAUACUGGCGUAGGAAGACCGAAGGGCAUCCGC